UCCUCGAUGGUCUAGUGGUCAUGAUUUCCGCUUGUCAACCGCAAAGUAAACAAGCGCGGGAGACCUGGGUUCGAUUCCCAGUCGGGGAG